CCUACGGGAGGCAGCAGUGAGGAAUAUUGGUCAAUGGACGAGAGUCUGAACCAGCCAAGCAGCGUGAAUGAUGAAUGCCCUAUGGGUUGUAAACUUUUUUUAUAAAGGAAUAAAACGAGGCACGUGUGCCUUUUUGCAUGUACUUUAUGAAUAAGGACAGGCUAACUCCGUGCCAGCAGCCGCGGUAAUACGGAGGGUCCGAGCGUUAUCCGGAUUUAUUGGGUUUAAAGGGAGCGUAGAUGGGUUGUUAAGUCAGUUGUGAAAGUUUGCGGCUCAACCGUAAAAUUGCACUUGAUACUGGCAGGCUGGAGUACAGUUGAGGGAGGCGGAAUUCGUGGUGUAGCGGUGAAAUGCUUAGAUAUCACGAAGAACCCCGAUUGCGAAGGCAGCUUACUAAACUGUGACUGACAUUGAUGCUCGAAAGUGUGGGUAUCAAACAGGAUUAGAUACCCUUGUAGUC
rnacentral:rRNA from 1 species